GGAGUUCCAAAAGUGGGUAGGCUGAGAGACAGCUCAGAGCCCAGCGGUGUUUGGUUUGUGGUCCUUCUGACAGCCAGUCAGGUUGGGUACCUAAAAAGCUUUCAGAGGUAAUAGACCACCCUCGACAAGCAAAUUCGCUACCCGCCUUCCCCCAGAGACCUGAACAUUUCUUUCACCUGGCAGCCCUUAGAAUCAAAACACAGGUUUAACCAGUCUGCAACCCAAGCAAAGUAAAUUAAACAGAUGCAUCCAGGACCGUCAGACACCAGACAAACACUGAAUAGGAUUCAAUUAAAACCGAACCUCAGAGGAAUAUGCUAUGAGUAAAUUAUAACUGCAGACUGGUACAGUUUAUGGAGAGGAAGCACAGUACAAACUCAUUCCAUUGUCCAGGAAUUUAUGUAGUUAAUUCUUUAAAAGCAUUCCCCCCCAGAGCUAACUUGUUCCUCAAGAUGGACAAGACCAACAAUUAUCGGCCCUAAUAAAAACUGAG
rnacentral:lncRNA from 1 species